GAUGAAGAACGUAGCGAAAUGCGAUAAGUAAUGUGAAUUGCAGAAUUCAGUGAAUCAUCGAAUCUUUGAACGCACAUUGCGCCCGCUAGUAUUCUGGCGGGCAUGCCUGUCCGAGCGUCAUUUCAACCCUCAAGCCCCCGGGCUUGGUGUUGGGGAUCGGCGAGCCUCCGCGCCCGCCGUCCCCUAAAUCUAGUGGCGGUCUCGCUGUAGCUUCCUCUGCGUAGUAGCACACCUCGCAAUGGGAAACAGCGCGGCCACGCCGUUAAACCCCCAACUUCUGAACGUUUGACCUCGGAUCAGGUAGGAAUACCCGCUGAACUUAAGCAUAUCAAUAAGCGGAGGA
rnacentral:misc_RNA from 1 species